rnacentral:tRNA from 1 species
GGCGCAUUAGUCGAGUGGUUUAAGACACCAGACUUUCUAUCUGGUAGCAAGGGUUCGAUCCCCUUAUGCGUCA